UUUUGACUUCCCGCUUAUACCUGCAUAUUUAAGCUACGCAAACAUGUUUUUGCUUGAGACGUUGCAUUGUCUACGAGCUUUCUGAGUUUCUGAGGCUAAAUCUGUGCCCAUGUCUUGUUUGUUUUAAUGUUUUAUGAUGGUCACAUUUCAUCACACUCUUUCGAUGUCCCUCCUCCCGCGUAGUUAAGUGAUUGAACUCCUUUAAAACUUUUUUUUGGAAAGAAAGUGAAAGCAGAUCGGUCGACGUGCGGCUGCUUCUUCACACCUAUAACGAUCACCUGUAACCUGUUUCGAUCUUCAGUUACAGCAGAUAAUGAUAAUGCACCUACAUAAAUACAUGUUCUUGGCACCACUAUUUAUGAUCUGUGAUGGGUUCUUAGUGAAAGGUCCGUCUGGUCCUCUGGUUGUUCGUCUGGGAUCUUCGGUGGUUUUGCCCUGUUAUGUUGAUGAACCCUUACCUUUGAAAGGACUGAAGGUGAUUUGGAUACGAACAGAUGUCAAUACUCUAGUGCAUGUGUACCAAGAUUAUGAGAGUCGACCAGACGCACAGUAUCAGGAUUAUCAUGACAGAGCUCAUUUCUUCACUGAUAAAAUUAUACAUGGAAACUUCUCCCUCCGUCUGGAAAAUGUGAGAGCUGAAGAUAAGGGUUUUUACAGAUGUAAAGUUUACACUGAGCAGGAAUCUGAUGAAAGCCUAGUUCAAAUUAAAGAAGUUGAGCAUUUGAGUGUAUUAGGAUCAGAUCAUCCCGUAUCUGCGUCUGUGGGUGAGGAUGUCACUCUGAACUGCUCUGUGGACUCUCACAUCCCACCUGAACACAUUCAAGAGGUUUCGUGGAGGAAAAUUGAUGAAGAUGAAAACAUCCUGGUUUUUGAAAACAAAAAAACUCUACUAGUAGAUGAGCGAUACAGAGACAGAGUUGAGUUCUUCACUGAUGAAAUCCCUAAAGGAAACUUCUCUCUCAGACUGAAGAGUGUCAGAACCGAGGACCAAGGGGUUUACAUCUGUCACGCGAAUGCUGGAAAUUUUUCUGCCAGUGCAACUGCAGAAGUGGAGCAACUGGGUUACUCUGUUUUACACAUUAUUGUGUUUAUUCUCUGUAUCAUUGCAUCUGCAUCUGCAGUGGUGCUGACAACUCUAUGGUAUCAAUUCCACAGAUUACAAAGGCCAAAUGCAGCCCUUCUUCUUCAGAUCUCUUCAGUCUUUGUACCGAACCUUAUUAUGUUUUUUGCCUUCUGGUUCUGGGGUGUUAUUGAAGGAUUUCUGAGUGAGACUGUUGCUUGCUGUGCUCAUUAUUUUCUGAGGCCCCUUCUGCUGUUAUGGGUGUCUCCACAUUCAGAACAUUUCCCAGGCAAUCGUAAAACAGCUAUUCACUGCAUUGUUCAUCUACAAUAUUCCCUCUUUACAAAUGUUGUUUAUUCAGUUCUUUUUCAGUCUUUCUGGGAAGAAAGUCUGAGUUAUGAACAAUCUGAUAGAGUCCUGAUAACAAUCCUCUUUGCAAUUAUGAUUCUGAUAUGCAUCAUAAACAUCGUUUUCUUACUGGCUGAACUGAUUAGAAAUAAAGAUGGCCGCAUGCGUGCUGCAUUAGACCUUGUGUCUGAUAUCGGCCAUGAUGUUCUGCCUCCAUUACAACUCAUCUUCCUUUUCUACGCUUUUGGAACUGCCAGCGGAGCACUUUUUAUUGUUGGAGUUUUUCCACUGUUCCUAACUUUGACCAGAUAUAAUUGGAAAAAUGCCUGUGUGAAAACACUGGAACCUUUGCGUUCGUUCAGGAGAGCAGCGUGGUUAUGUUUCAUGAUAGUGGUGAACACAAUAAUGGUCUAUUCGUACCUGAUAGCACUGAAAAAAGAAAAAGAUUGUGAAGGAUGGGUCUGCGUAGCUGCAUUUCUUCAAGUUCUCUGGGGAAUUGUGGUCCUGAAACACUCAUUUGGCGACCUGGAUCUACCUUUUAGACACAUUGUGCACCUUAUCGGAUCAGUUGUUGUUGUUCUAGUGAACUCUUUUGCAUUGAUGACCGAGCUGAUCUUAAAAAUGGUUAAUGGUGAGCGUGCGAUAGAGGAUCUGAGAAAAGUUGUCUUUUCCUCUGAAUGCAUCUUUGCCUCAUUUGUGCUGCUGUUAAUCAUUUUCGAACCUUUCAUUAAAAAAUUUCAGCAGCGUUUUCAGAAUCCAGCCAGAAGAUCACAGCAGAAUCCCUCUUCUCAGAAUGAGGUCGUGUCUGAUGAAACUCCACAUAACCCAUCAAACCAGAACCAGACUGCAGCACAAUCAUUUGAGUUGAGACCGAUGUUAGAGACUGAAGAACAGGAGGCUGGGAGAGAUAGAGAUGGAGGAGACGCAGCCUGAUUCAGUCCAACAAUCAUGGCACUGAGUGAAUCUACCAGAUUUAUCCACUGUUUACUUCUGAAACAUUCACAAGUCCGUUCAGUGUUCUGCUUAAAAAUGGAAGUGUUAUGCUUAAGUAUUGUGUUUGUUUGUUGGUCAUGUUGAUAGUGAAUGCGAAUAGGAAGGCUUGCACAUUCACAGACAAUAGCCUUGCAAAAUAAGGUGGAUACAUGCAGUUUUACAAAUGUGGUCCAUAGACUGCUUGUAUAGACUCGAGCUUUGUGCUUCAAUAACUUGUAGAUCUGCAUCUUCUAAUUGGACACUCUACAACAUCUUCAGAUAAGCAGCUGGUGGUGUCAGAUGCUUCUCUUGCUUAUAUGAGCACUAUCAGAUACACUACAGUGCUGAAACACAGUGCUCAUGUUCAGAGGAACCACAAAUACAGCCUUAUGACUCCCUUUGGUGCUUUAAAGCAAAACCUGUAUAAAUAGUUUUACCUUUUAUAUUUAAUUUAUAUACAAUAUUGGGCACAUACGGUGUGUUUUAUUGAUAAGUUGCUGCCAUGGACUGUGAAUAUGUCUCAUGGUUCAGUAUUUCCUCAUGUCGCUCUUCUCAGCAGUUCUUCUGCUCUUUAUUUGAGUGUGUUACUCAUUAACUUGCAGACGUGUUUCUGAACAUGGUUUAGAAAGGCUUGGUUAUAAUAUGGAAAUAUGGGCACUUGUGUGUUAUUACAUCAGGUUUCUGAUGUCAAAAAUCCAAGAAUGAGCCAUUGUAGAAGUUUACUUUCAGUAAAUGCUCUUUUUUUAGACUGGAUCAAAAGUUUUGAUUUGUGACAGAUUGUAUUUAUAAUACAGUGAAAUCAAAGGGAUCUCUACUUUGUAUAUGUAUAUAGAGAUGAGCAGUAUUUAUUUUUUUUUUUUUUACAUAAUAAUAAAUUGUAUUUUUUAAAUUUGUUGUAAAUGUUAAUGGUGCAAACCUUGUUGACAGUGUUUUUCCCCCAAAUAAAUGACAGCAACAGUUUGAUUGUUUUUACCUGCAUUAGUUCAUCCUCACUCACGGUUUCAUUGUGUGUUUGUUUGGAUCUGUUGGACCUUUACACUGACGACAGAACCGAUGCUAAAGAUGAGGGAGUUCAUUUCUGUUAUAAAGAUAGUCUAUUUGCAAAGUCAUUAUGGUUCAUAAUAAAUAUUGUCGCUAAUAUUAAUGGCGAGCGUGUAGUGGGUGAUCUGAGAAUCAUUCUCAUAUUUUAUCUGAAAGCCUCGUCAUUUGGUCGUCACUGAUUUGCACCUGGUGAGUGUAAAAACGAGUUUUAGUACAAUGCAAUGUUGUUUUAGUAUCACUGAUAUACUAUUAUAGUUUUUGUUGAAUUGUAUUUUUUUUACAUUCUGUUUUAAUUUUUUUUUUUGUCUAUAUUUUAUAUUUAAGUUUUAGUUCAUUUGGUUUUAGUUAAUUUGGUACUUAAAUUUCAUAAAUGAGAAAUGUUGUCUUGGCAAUUAACUGAAAUAUAUUUAGUAAUUAAAAUGUUUUAAUGGUUUUCGUUUAAUAGUUUUGUUAAUAACCCUGGCACAAUGUCAGUAGCCGAUCUUUAGUCUUUUCCCUCCAUGUUUUAUGACAGAAACAGUACUAGAUUGGAGAAUAUGGCCACAUUUUAAAGGAAAAGUUCACCAUAAAAAAAAAAAAAAAAAAAACUGUCACUGUUUAUGAAAACUAUAAAAAUAAUAAAACUUUUUGUCAUGCUAAUACAUAACUGAUUUACUAGUCAAACCAGUUAAGCUAAAAAUGCAUAAAUUUAAACUGUUCAUGAAAAUGGUUAUAUCUAAACAAUACACACUCUCAGAAGAAAAGGUUCUAUAUAGAAUCUUAUAGAGUUCUGUCAUGCGAGUCAUAUAUAAACGCUUUUAUGGGAUCACUUCAUGGAUUAAAUUUUUAAUUUUAAUUAAAUUUUAUGAAUUAAACAGGUCAUACACAUAAUUUAUCACUAGAAAAAAACUGAAAUAACCCAUUAAACAUGAAAGUAUUAUGAAAUCAUUUAAGACAUUUCUCCUUGUAUAUAUAACCUUUUUGGCAUCAAGUAAACUUUAGAAUUGAGUUGAGAACCAUAGAGUUCUAUAUAGAACCCCACUGAACCUUUAAGAAGUGUACUUGCAUUUAUUUAUCAAUAUGCAUCCAAUUUAAUAGCUGUUUUAGAAAACUUAAUUCUGAAUAAAUAUUCUGAGUAAAUAUUUAAUGUAAACAUACAGUAUAAAUUGUAAUGUGUGACACAUCCACCUUUAAUAUUGUGCUAAACAUAUUUUGUGUUUCACAGAGAAAGAAAGUCUCAGAGGUUUGAGCAAAGUCGGAGUCAUUAUGCAAAUUUAUGGUGCCAUCUUUCUGUUAGAAUAUAUAAUCUAUGACAUAACAGCAAUGCAAUGAAGAAAACCACACGUCUGGAAUGCUGGAUAAGUGAGGAUCUUUGUGUUUUAGUUCAUGUCAUGUGCUGGCUGAUCAGAGAGCAGUUGUACAGUGUUCAGGCCAGUGUUUCCUCAGCUCUGUGUUCAUGUAGUAAUAGAUCCAUGUGAUGAAGGGAAACAAUGAUUCCCACAGCAGUGCAGAUCCUCACAGAGCCGACAGAACUCCUGCAGGACACAACACAGACAUGAAUGACAAGAGUCACUACAGAAACCAGAUCAUAGACGAGUCUUAUAAAGGUAAAGGACAGUGUUAAACACCAUGUUUGGACAUUAAAAUAUGAAACACAGACUGGAG